rnacentral:lncRNA from 10 species
UGUGCAUUUAUUUAAAAUUUAUUUGUUCAUAGCUAUACAUAUAUUAUACAUGUAUACCUGCUCACAGCAUAAAGUAUUUCAUGACAUACUUGUAAGAGUCAGUGUUCUAUGAAUUCACUAGAGAAGUUACAGCAUUUUGAUUAUGAUACACGAAAAGAAACCCAAGUCAUUUAGCUUAACUCCUUAAUUUCAUAAACCAGAAAACUAAAAUCCAAGAUAGAUUGGGUGACUUGGUCUAGAUCACAAACCAAAGUUAGCCAUAAUUCGGUAGUGUAGUGCCCGGUCCAAAACCUCAUAGAUAAUCUUAUAAUCAAUGGACUCUUUCUGAAUGCUAGUCAAAAUGUCCUUUUGUGUGAAUUUUAAUGUACCGUCAUCAACUGCAUGAUAUUCUUCCCCAUACACAAAGUGUUAUCUUUUUGUUGUCCAUUUCAGAAUUUUCCAUGUUAAUAUUAAAGUUCUAGGAAAAAAGGCUAAGAAUCACUGCACAUUUAUUGAGUAUCUCAGUGUGCAUCAUACCAUUUGGUCAUUUGAGGUUGCAACAAGUAAAAAACAAACAUAAAACCCUUAAAUUAAAAUAAAAACAAAAAACUUUGCCCUGACAAUGUUACAGAAUUAACAUCCAUAAAUUUACUUUUCUUGAAAAAUUUAUUUUCUUUAAUUUCGUUUGUUUCCUGUUACAUAAUUUAUAUUUAAAUUUACAUUUAUUUAUCCAGAAACUAUGUCCAAAUUUUAUGUCCUCUUUUCUGUUAUCCUGGAGUUUGGUGAAGAAAUCUGUACUUAAUUUAGAAAAGAAAUCCCUCUAACUGACAAUAUUGUUAGCUAACUAUAUAGGUCAACAAUAUCGUUUUGAGGCUGAACUCCUUUACUCCUUUUACUGUAAGCUAUUGAAGCCAAACUCCUUCCUACCUUUGUUCAUUUAUGAUGGUGUAAAAUUUUAAAAUUAGGAUCUACAUACAGAACAAUGCAGAAUUAUAUAAAAAUAUUUGAAUAUUGAAAAAUGAAGUGGAAAUUAUUAUUAUUAUUUAGGUACAGGGUCUUGCUCUGUCACCCUGGAGUGCAGUGGCAUGAUUACAGCUCACUGCAGCCUCAAACUCUUGGGCUCAAGUAAUCCUCCUGCCUUAGCCUCUGUUAACCAUGCUGGUCCUGAACUCCUGGCCGCAAGUGAUCCUCCUGCCUUGGCCUCCCAAAGUGCAGGAAUUAUAGGCAUGAGCUACCAUGCCUAGUCCUGAAAUUACUAUCUUCUUCCUUAACCCCCAUCUCCCCCACAAAAAAACAAAAACUUCCUUUUUUCUUCAUAUUUACAUUUUAAUUGUAUAUGCUGCAAUGGCCUAUUUGUAUCACCCCAGAGUCAUGUGUUGACAUCCUAACCUGCAAUAUGAUACAUUAGGAGGUGGGGCCUUUGGGAGGUAAUCAGGUCAUAAGGGUAGUGCCCUCAUGAACAGGAUUAGUGUCCUUAUAAAAAGACACAUGAGCGCUCGCUUUUUUUCUCUGCUCUUGCUAUGUGAGGAUACAGCAAGAAGAGGACCAUCUGCAAACCAGGAAGUGGGCCCUAACCAGAAACUAUAUCUGCUGGCACCUUUAUCUUGCACUUCCUAGCCUCCAGACUGAAAAAUAAAUGUUUGUUGUCUAUGACACUCCAUCUAUGGUAAUUUGUUAUAGCAGCCCAAAGUGACUAAGACAGAUGCUAACAAAUCGAGAUUUAUU